rnacentral:rRNA from 1 species
UACGUAGGGUGCAAGCGUUGUCCGGAAUUAUUGGGCGUAAAGAGCUCGUAGGCGGUCUGUCGCGUCGGCUGUGAAAACCCGGGGCUCAACCCUGGGCCUGCAGUCGAUACGGGCAGACUAGAGUGCGGUAGGGGAGACUGGAAUUCCUGGUGUAGCGGUGAAAUGCGCAGAUAUCAGGAGGAACACCGGUGGCGAAGGCGGGUCUCUGGGCCGUAACUGACGCUGAGGAGCGAAAGCGUGGGGAGCGAACAGG